UUUCGAGGCCAAGGAUUCAAAAAUUUCAAC
rnacentral:piRNA from 1 species